rnacentral:rRNA from 1 species
CUGGCUCAGGAUGAACGCUAGCUACAGGCUUAACACAUGCAAGUCGAGGGGCAGCAGGACAAUAGCUUGCUAUGUUGCUGGCGACCGGCGCACGGGUGAGUAACGCGUAUCCAACCUACCCCGCGGUCAGGGACAGCCCGGCGAAAGUCGGAUUAAUACCUGAUGCAGUCAGAAGAGGGCAUCUGAUUUUGACGAAAGAUUCAUCGCCUCGGGAUGGGGAUGCGUAGGAUUAGGCAGGCGGCGGGGUAACGGCCCACCGCGCCGACGAUCCUUAGGGGUUCUGAGAGGAAGGUCCCCCCACACUGGUACUGAGACACGGACCAGACUCCUACGGGAGGCAGCAGUGAGGAAUAUUGGUCAAUGGGCGGUAGCCUGAACCAGCCAAGUAGCCGUGCAGGACGACGGCCCUAUGGGUUGUAAACUGCUUUUAUGCGGGGAUAAAGUGCGGCACGUGUGCCGUUUUGUAGGUACCGCAUGAAUAAGGACCGGCUAAUUCCGUGCCAGCCGCCGC